rnacentral:lncRNA from 1 species
CUUUUUCCAUUCUUGAUUCUUCUUUAGUUCAUCAUUAAUCUGUCCAAUUGACGCCUCAGGACCAUGGCAAGAAUUUCAUGACUCCAAAGUAUUUUACAGACACACACUAUUAAAAUAAAAAGUGCCAUACUUACCCCUUAAAGCAAAGACCUAAUUUGCUUUCUCUCUAUUGGGACUAUUUUUGUACUUUACUAAUCUUUUAACUAUCCAAAAAAAAAUUA